GACGAACGCUGGCGGCGUGCUUAACACAUGCAAGUCGAACGAUGAAGCUAGAGCUUGCUCUGGUGAAUUAGUGGCGAACGGGUGAGUAACACGUGAGUAACCUGCCCCGAACUCUGGGAUAACUGCUGGAAACGGUAGCUAAUACUGGAUACGACCUACGAAGGCAUCUUCUGUAGGUGGAAGAAAUUCGGUUCGGGAUGGAAUCGCGGCCUAUCAGCCUGUUGGGGAUGUAAUGGGUUACCAAGGCCACGACGGGUAGCCGGCCUGAGAGGGUGACCGGCCACACUGGGACUGAGACACGGCCCAGACUCCUACGGGAGGCAGCAGUGGGGAAUAUUGCACAAUGGGCGCAAGCCUGAUGCAGCAACGCCGCGUGAGGGAUGACGGCCUUCGGGUUGUAAACCUCUUUUAGUAGGGAAGAAGCGAAAGUGACGGUACCUGCAGAAAAAGCACCGGCUAACUACGUGCCAGCAGCCGCAGUAA
rnacentral:rRNA from 1 species